rnacentral:rRNA from 1 species
GAUCCUGGCUCAGGAUGAACGCUAGCUACAGGCUUAACACAUGUAAGUCGAGGGGAAACGAUAGAGAAAGCUUGCUUUUUCUAGGCGUCGACCGGCGCACGGGUGAGUAACGCGUAUCCAACCUGCCCACCACUUGGGGAUAACCUUGCGAAAUUAAGACUAAUACCCAAUGAUAUCUCUAGAAGACAUCUGAAAGGGAUUAAAGAUUUAUCGGUGAUGGAUGGGGAUGCGUCUGAUUAGCUUGUUGGG